CUCUUGCGUUCCUGUGUGAUGGGGCCGGAGCCAGUAAACAGGCUUCCUUCUCGCUCUGCUGUAUAAGAAGAAGAAGUAGGAGAAACAAAAUAAGGAGGAGAAGAAGUAAAAUAAUUUGAGAAGGAAUAUGAAGGGGCUGAAAUCCUGGGCUUUCUGGGCAGAAGGAUCUACGAGCGGGAUCGUGGGUGAAACAUGAAGAUGAUGGUGGACAGGUGAGCUACGCAGUUCGUGGAAGAACCAGGGGUCACAUGGCCUAGAUGCUACCCUAGAUGAGAAAGAGUCCAAUGGUUAUCAACAAGUUCUGAAAGGCAAGGCCUAAGGUACUGAAAAUUAUAUUACUCAAAGCUGAAGGCAGCAAAUCUGUUCAUGUUUACACAGUUGGGAAAGUGGACUUGUGUUUUUUACAAGCAAACCAGUGACCAGCCAAUGGCAGGAGACCUUCCCCACCCCUAAAGGUGAUGCUCACCUACCGUCAUGGGUAAAAGGAAGCUCUGGCUCGAAUUCCUCAUGUAUUAUUCAUGUGUGAUGCCACCCAACGUGAUUCAGAGAAGAAAAUUCUCAGUGUGUUCACCAGAGGUGAUUACAUGAGAAUAAAGCACGGCCUGAUUUUUUUUCUUGUUCACAGGAAAAAAAAAAGAAAAGAAUGUAGAAUUUCUGAUGUGGGAUUGUUUCGACCUUGGAGAGUGUCCGUAUGAGACACAUGUGUGGUAUACAAAACACCUUUAAGAUUUAAUCAGAAUUGUAUAUCUUUCCAAAUUAAAUUGAUUGCUCCCUCAAACUCUUAUACAUCA
rnacentral:lncRNA from 10 species